rnacentral:lncRNA from 1 species
GAAAACGGUGUAUGUGCUUCAGAGAGCCACCCACUGUGCCAAGCACGGCGACGUAAGCCGUCUCAUUUGAACCUCCUCACAACAGGAUGGGGCUUUGGACUGAGCGCUCUGGACCCAUUAAUGCAAGGUCUGACUCUUCCAGACUGAGAGACUGCUGAAGGAAGAAGCAGUGACCCACGGCUGAGUACAGUGGCCAGGGUUCCAGGGUACACAUCUGUCAAUUCACCCCUCUGGAGGCAUGGGCUGCUGGGAGGUGAAAGAGUUCAUACAGCCAACCAGGAAGCAGUCACUCUGACAAGCCAAGCGAAGAGAUGUUUGGCCACCUGCAUCUGACUUCUAGAUCGGCUUCUGUUCUUGGGACCAGCAAUGCUUGAAUGAAAAGCUCUGCUGAUUGCCUGCUGCAGAGAAGCCUGGACCCACAGGGCACCGGGCAUGAAGGAAAGCAAGCGGUUCCGUGUUGAAGGCAAGGGUCUCUGUCCUGCAGCAGGUAUGCAGAAAGUCGCCUCCGUGGUGGAAGGGUCUGAGUGGUAUAGACCCCAUAGCACAGCCUCCUUCGCCUCACACUCUCCGUGAUCUCCCCAGUCUCCUCUGAACAGCCAUAAAGCUAGUCAUUAAAAUGUGCCUCAAGGUCGGCAAUCAAUCUCAAGGGGGUUUUAGUUUAUUGUCUGGAGGAGGAAGCCUUCCACUGCCUCUCUUGUCACUGAAGAGGCAUCACAUAAAGGACCCUUUAAUCUCACCCAGACAUCUCAUGGGGCACCAUGGCGAGUAAGUCCCCUCCCUGGCAAACACACGGGCUCGUUAACAGGGACCUUUACCACCAGUGACACAAUGGAACUUUCUUUAUAAGGGUUGAAAGGGCACAGGAGUUGCAAAAUGUCUUAAGGGCCAUGAAUUGUAGACUCCUUCCUGCCCCUCUGCCUGGGGUCAAAUGUGGGGACACUCAUGCAUCGGUGCUAUGCCUCCUAUCCACUGUGCACCUUGCUCAUAGGUAUGUGGCCCUGUCAGAUUUCUCUGUCCAGGACCAUGUCUCUGUCUUGCCUGAUAUCCCCACUGGUGUGUCUCUCACAGUGCGGUGUAGUAUGAGGACACUCAGUGUGAAGAAUGUAAGCCACAGGGAGCCAGCUAAGGAACAUAGAAUCCUUGAGUUCACUCUGACUCAACACUGGGGUUUUGGGCCUUGUAGGAUACUUAGCAGUAUCCCUGAUCUCCACCAGUGUGAUACCAACAGCAGCCUGCCAACCUGCUGGACAACCAAAACUGUCCCCAUACAUUGCUCUGGGACAAAUUACCUGGCUGUGCCAACAGUGUGCAUGGCAGAAGUCUGUGUACAGAGAGCAUCAGAGAGCAGACACUGAUGUUUGGGAUGCCCACGGGACCUUGUCUGGAGAUGGAGGUGGGGAUGUGUGUGGUACCUUUCCCACACUCUCCACGGAAGCUCUUUGUCAUUCCUCUUUAGAAGGUGUCAGGAAAAGGGGGGCUGCUGUGGUCAGAACCCUUGCUAUUUUAUUAUUAGCUAUUACGAAGCACCGAAAGCCCCGAACUUGGCUGAAGUGCCCUCUUGAGACAAGUUAUGGGAUGUGGGAUGACUGUCUGUUUUCAGCGUCCAGCACGCAGGGAUUGGGGCAAGCCCAUCAGCCUAAGAUGGCGAAAACUAUGGUGCCAGCACCCAUUACAUCAAUUUGUGAGAAAACUACGCAAUAAAUGGCAUCUCUUACUGUUCCUG